GGGCCUAUAGCUUAAUGGUAGAGCACCCGGUUUGCAUCCGGGAGACGCGGGUUCGAUUCCCACUAGGUCCA
rnacentral:tRNA from 1 species